UCCUUCCUCCGCAGCCCGGCACCGAGUCGGCCCUGCUGCCGAUCAUCCGGGCUCGGGGCCCGGCCCCGCGAGCGCGCUGCGGCCGGGGAUCUGAGACAGUCGUAGCGACGCGAGCCCCCGCCGGCACCGGGCCACGAGGGCUAGCUUUGGAGCACCGGGGGCGGGACGGCUGCACCUCCGGGUGGUAGUUUUGAGUUCAGAGAGUGGCGGGGAUCCUAGCCGGAGCUGUUGCUGCAGCCUAGGCUGGGCACUGGCCGGAUCGAACCCCAGGAAAGGGAAGCGAACGCGUGGAAUUUCCGCAAACUGGACGAGAAUCCAUCUUCCACUCGAGCUGGGAAUAGACUUUGUAAAAGAUAUUAUGUAAUGGAGUCUUGGAAACCUGGAGACAUCUCCAGGGAAACUGCUGGUGGGGUUGAAUGCUUUAAAUGGUCUAGGCUCGCGAGCUAAAGAGGCGUGUUUCCCUUUUCUUCCUCCCAUUUUUCUUUCCUAAAAGAUUUAUCACGAAUGUAUUAAUAAAGAAGAUGGGUGGUAAUAUAUUCUUUGUGGCGAGACAUGAAACAACUGGAGAGGAGCUGUGCACAUGUGGAGGAUUUCUCCUCAAUGAUUUCAGAGA
rnacentral:lncRNA from 1 species